CAGAAUAUGGUUCACUCAUGGAAUGACUUCCAUGAUUCACUAUUUAAUUCACUCUAAAAUGUACUUGUAUCUCUAAAUGAGAUUGGAUUUCCCACUACAAUGCCUGACUUCUUUCGAAAGUUGUCAAGUAUACUUUUAAGCCUUCUCCGUGAUGUUUUUUCCACCAAAAAUGACUGUACAAUCGUUUGCAAAAAAUUUAUUGGUAACCUUUCCACCUCCAACGACCAUUCCCUCAAGGUUGUUGUCCGUAACUUUUUGGAGCCUUGCUAUGAAAAUGAGGGGCUUAAUGGAUUUCCUUUGACUCUCACCUGUUUCCAAUCUUAUUUUUGAACCACCCUUUAUAUAGUCGACUCCACGCCAUUUAAUAUAUAACUCACUUCAGACAAAAUAUCUCAGGAAAUUUUCUUUUUGCCAGUUCUUCCAAUAUAAAGAAAUGAUCUAUCAAGUCGAAAGCCUUCUCGAACUCCAAGCUUAUCAGUGCCAACUCAUCUCCAUUUUUUUUUUGUCUGUCCCACUAAUGAUCUCAAAGACAUGGUUACAUCCUCCAUUUGGCGUCUGGAAUGAAAACCAAAUUUUGUGGUGGGAAGAUUUUUUUCUAAAAUUGGUUUUAAUGUUUCACAUAAA
rnacentral:lncRNA from 1 species